rnacentral:tRNA from 1 species
GUGAUCGUAGCUCAAUUGGCAGAGCUCCUGUUUGUGGAACAGGCGGUUGGCGGUUCGAGCCCGCUCGAUCACCCCA